rnacentral:rRNA from 1 species
UACGGAGGGUGCAAGCGUUGUCCGGGUUUAUUGGGUUUAAAGGGUGCGUAGGCGGCCCGUUAAGUCAGCGGUGAAAUCCCGGGGCUCAACCCCGGAACUGCCGUUGAUACUGGCGGGCUUGAGUUCGGUGAAGGCGGGCGGAACUGGCGGUGUAGCGGUGAAAUGCUUAGAUACCGCCAAGAACCCCGAUUGCGUAGGCAGCUCGCUGUGCCGAAACUGACGCUGAGGCACGAAAGCGUGGGGAGCGAACAGG